GGCAAUUAGACCCCCUGCCUAGACGGCACUUCUUUUCAUGUUCCUGAUGUUUUAACCAGAAACAUGGUUUUGCCCUGAGCUGUGCUCCUGGGCGGCGGCACCCCUGGGGGCUCAGGAAGGCGGGUGUUUUUAACAGUAGGUCCCUUGUGACCAUGGCCCCACUUUGGCCCCAUUUGGUAGUUCCAGAAGAACAACGAGGCUACUGGAGAAAGUGACAGCCCAACACACAGAGGACACGUUAGGAAACAAAGGAAAAGAUGUCCUUCAUCAAAAUCACAAACUUUUAUAAAGAACACUGUCACCAGAAUGAAAGGCCAUACACAAGAGGCAGAAAAUAUUGCAGCUCAUAUAUCUGAUAACAAACUGGUAUCCAGAAUAUAUAAAGAACUAUGGCAAUUCAACAACAAUGAUGGUCCACACCACUAGUUGGGGAAAGGCAGAUCAAACCAGAGUGCGGGGAAGGCACAGUGGGGCAGCUGCUAUGGUGACCAGGAUGGCAAUGGCCAAAAAAGAAACCAAAUAUCCAUAUGAUGUAGCAAUCCAACUUCUGAGUACAUAAUCCAAAGAAGUAAAAGCAGGAACCAGCAUAGACACUGAACACCCACAGCCACAGCAGUGUUGCUCACAAUAGCCAAAUGGUGGAAGCACUCAAGUGUCAGUCAACAGACAGAAAAUGUGUAAACAGUGGAAUAUUAUUCAGCCAUAAAAAGGACAGAAAUUUUGACCCACACCGCAGAAUGACCAAGUCUUGAAGACACUAUGCUAAGUGAAGUAAGCAAGAUGCCAAAGGACAAAUACUGUAUGAUUCCAUUUAUAUAAGAGUUGCCUACAGCAGUAAAGCUCCUGGAGGGUGGUGGGUCCCAGGGUUGGAAUGGGAAGGAGAGUCACUGCUUACUGCCUACAGAGUUUCAGUUGAGAAGACGCAAAGAUGGCGGAGGUGAUGGCUGUGCGAUGCGAGUGUGCUCACUACCAUCGAGCCAUUUGCUUGAAAAUGGCUAAAAUGGAACAUUCCAUGUUAUGUGUAUUUUACCACAAUUUUAAAAAAAAAAAAGAAUUGUCCACCCAGCAACCAAACUGCAGGCUCCCCCUUGAGUUCCUGCUUAUCUUUAUCUGAUAAACUCCUAUUUCUGAUAAGGAACCGACACAUUCAAGUUGGUGUCUGUGGCUGGUUGGUGACAGAAUGGCCCCUCAGCCCCCUCUGGACCGCACCCUUACCAUGUGACCUCGCGAGGAGUCACCCCGGGGUCUGGGCUGGCCUCGUGAGUGCCUCCCAGCAGCACCGGGUUGUGGGAUGAGGGCGUCAGCUUUGAGCCUAGCAUUCAAGAGGGUUGGUGAUUCUGCUCACUGUCUUGGAACCCUGUCCCUGUCAUUACGGCAUGAUAGAAGUGGCCUGCCAGAGGGGGAGACAGGCCAUCCAGACCAGCCUCCCGCAAGCUGGCCUUUGGCAGGGCAGAGUCCAGCCGAGAUCAGCAGAGCUUGUGGGGAGAACACACACUGGCUCACAGCCCGGCCGACCCUGUCCCACCAGAAAGUGCCUAGUUACCUGGAAACUCAAGAGCAGCAGCAAGCGCCUGAGACGUAAGCCCUGCUGGGCGUUGUUUGUUACACAGCAAGCGCUGACUGCUACGACAUAUUUUCUAUCCAUUUCCUCUUUAUCUUCACCACUGUCAGUAACUACUCGGGGCCUUGGUGAACUUAUGCACAUCUCUGUAUAAAUUACUUCUUCUUGUGUGCCUUCAGUUUACUUUUUAUCUUCUUGAAUUAGAAGCAUGGAACAUUGAGUUUAGCCUGUUUAUUAUAUGACUCCUCCAUGUGUGUAUUUUGCCUAGUUGGUUAGAUAAUACCCUACUAGAUUUUAGUGAAGUCUCCAUGACACGGUGAUUUUGUCAAAUACUUCCUGUAUUUCUAGUUUUUGAAUCAUUUGUUACUGUCCUGUUCCUUGGCAUAUGGUUAUCUAUGUGUUCCACGGUGUGUUAUUCAUAGUACCCUCUUGGUAGACACCAGGCGAUAUUCUCAAUACUUUAACCCGUUUUGUGAGUGGGAAGUCCACUCCCA
rnacentral:lncRNA from 1 species